rnacentral:tRNA from 1 species
GAGCCCGUGGCUCAAUGGUAGAGCGUUCGACUCAAAUACCAAAGGUCGCGGGUUCGAAUCCCCGGUGUCC